AUCAGUCAAAUCCUUUCGCGGGCCGGAUUUAAUGUUUAAUGUUAAUGUUCCACCUCCUACUCCUACUCAAUACGUCCCCGUCGUACAGAACGGUAACAUUUCUCUCAAUUAUCCAAGCUUGGGUAUACGGGGAAACCCAACCCCUUGGGCGGAUGGGUUGCAUGGCUAAAUUGAGAGGG
rfam:Anopheles gambiae str. PEST whole genome shotgun sequencing project, whole genome shotgun sequence.